rnacentral:rRNA from 1 species
AUUGAACGCUGGCGGCAGGCCUAACACAUGCAAGUCGAACGAGUGGCGGACGGGUGCGUAAUGUCUGGGAAACUGCCUGAUGGAGGGGGCUAACUACUGGAAACGGUAGCUAAUACCGCAUACCCUCGGAUGUGCCCAGAUGGGAUUCGCUAGUAGGUGGGGUAAAGGCUCACCUAGGCGACGAUCCCUCGCUGGUCUGAGAGGAUGACCAUCAACACUUGAACUGAGACACGGUCCAGAGUCCUACGGGAGGCAGCAGUGGGGAAUAUGGCACAAUGGGGGAAAGCCUGAUGCAGCCAUGGCGCGUGUAUGAAGAAGGCCUGCGGGUUGUAAAGUACUUUAAGAGGGGAGGCGUUACCCACAGAAGAAGCACCGGCUAACUCCGUGCCAGCAGCCGCGGUAAUAC